UCCCUGGAGCUCAUCUAGAUCCCUCUAGCCAAUCUAACCAGUUGGAGAGUGCAGUCAACCAAGUGAGACUCUGUGUCCAAAACUCAGGCGAGAGUGAUAGAAGAAGACAUGAGAUGUCCCCUUGCUCUUCUACAGUGAUAGAGGAAGAUAUGAGAUGUCCCUUUGCUCUCCUGCAGUGAUAGAGGAAGAUAUGAGAUAUCCCUUUGCUCUCCUACAGUGAUAGAGGAAGAUAUGAGAUGUCCCUUUGCUCUCCUGCAGUGAGGACCCAAGGCUAUGGAUUCAGGGCAGUUCUUACCCAGGGAUGGGCUCCUGAACCUGACUGAAGGCUGGGGUUCCUUCUGGAUGAUCAGUAGUGUGGACUUCAAAUCACUGAUGAGGUAUUUUAUGAAUACUCCAUACACAAGAAGGAAUAGCUGCUGAAGGUUUUGGAGCUUCCACUGGGUCUCCACAGAGAAGGUGGAAGAGGAGGGAACUAUGUUCCAGAUACAGGUAAGUGUGGGGAGCAGGAUUGUCCCUUAGACCCUUGGGGUGGACCUGGAGUAUUUGCAGACCUCUGUCACCAAUAUUAGCUCCUCCAGCAAAAUCUUGUAGGGGCCAUGUUUUUACCUUCCAAUGCCUGUGUGUGUGUGUGUGUGUGUGUGUGUGUGUGUGUGUGUGUGUGUGUGUGUGUAUUCAGUGACAGUUACCAGAGGUCAGAUAUGUGUCUCCCAGACUGAAGGGGAUUCUGGUAUCUAAUUGCGGGUGGCAAAGCAGACAUGUUUGUGUCUCAGAGACUCCCAGAAUUUCCUGUGAGUGAGUAGUAGAUUGUUGGGAUGUUGUCUUCACAGUGAUUAUUCAUGAUUCUUGUUUGUAGCGUGGAAGACAGCUGACUUGUGUGGACAGAAUGACAGACAGUGUGUUCAGGCCUCUGCUGUGACAUCCAGGGCCCCUAGGUUCACUUUUAGCAACAGUGUCUGAUGUUCCCUGUGAUCCUAUGGGCUGAAUAUGAAGAACUGGGAGCCCAGCCCAGCCCUGGACAUCAGGACCCUGUCCCUGCACUGCCUGUGUUCUCUUCCAUGGCCAGCCCUCCUGUUCCAGCAGACAGGAGGGGACACAUUAUCCUGUUACCUCUUCCUGCUCUGAGCUUCAGGUCCCAACUUCCGCACUGAAACUAAGGAUCUCAAUUUGAAUUUGAUUGUUCACAUCCUUGAGCUGACAGGCUGAUAGCUGUUAAAUGUAUUAUUGAGAUACUUAGAAUUUGAGGAGGAAGUGAAUGGCAGCGUGGAGAACCUCCCAGAAAUGUGCGCAUCAUGUUCUGUGUCUCUGGUGUCACAGGAUGAGGCUGUGGGAGCUGAGUGAGAGCAGGGUUGUGCCCAGGCGCAGCUCAAUUUGAUAUUGGCUGUGACAUGGUCAGUCCUCAGCUCUGUCACCUCCUGGCUCUGUUCUCCUCAUCACUUAGAACCACAUGAUGAGAUCUGUGAUCACAGAGAAACAGGGAUGGCCAGAGUCCUGUUCUGUCCCAGGAGUGUGAGCAGCCAGGACUGGUGGGACAGAUCACGCUGGGCUCUGACCUGGCUGUAGCUCUUUACCCCAUUUUCGCUGUUUAUUGUUGUCUUUUUACUUUUUAUGGAGCACUAGGCUUGUUCUUGUUCCUGUAAGUAGAGCCUGCCUCCUUAUCACUUGUGCCCCCUGAGUGACAGCAUUAAAAUGUGUUUAUCCUUCCUUUCCCAUUAGAACCCUUCUAGGCCCCUGCACUCAGGAGACUGUGACCUAAGAACAUGAACUUCAAUCUGAGCUCCUGCCUCCCUCCAGGCCCCUCCCUGGUUCUCUCCUUUCCCAUCAUUUAGAAUUUAACCAUAGUUGUAGGAUGGCAGAGAGGAGGGAUCCACAGGGUCUCAUCUCAGAUCUGUCCUGUUGGAUCUGUACUCUGCCCAUGGUCCUCUCUCCCUCUCUGGCUCUGGGAAUCCUGGUGCUGCCUCCAGUGGUGACUCCAGGAUUUACAGGCUGAGUCUACUUUAGAUUUGUGUUUAUUUAAAAGAUAUGAUCUGUUUUGUCUUGUUGACUGUGCCCUUUGCCUUACAGAAGCUUCUCAGUUUCAGGAGAUCCCAUUUAUUAAUUGUUGAUCUCA